rnacentral:rRNA from 1 species
UACAGAGGGUGCGAGCGUUAAUCGGAAUUACUGGGCGUAAAGGGUGCGUAGGCGGUCAUCUAAGUCUGACGUGAAAUCUCCGGGCCUAACCCGGAAACUGCGUUGGAAACUAUGUGACUAGAGGAAUGGAGGGGAGACUGGAAUACUUGGUGUAGCAGUGAAAUGCGUAGAUAUCAAGUGGAACACCAGUGGCGAAGGCGAGUCUCUGGACAUUUCCUGACGCUGAGGCACGAAAGCCAGGGGAGCAAACGGG